UACAGAGGUCCCAAGCGUUGUUCGGAUUUACUGGGCGUAAAGGGUGCGUAGGUGGUUGGGUAAGUUUGAUGUGAAAUCUCCGGGCUUAACCCGGAAAUGGCAUUGAAUACUAUUCGGCUAGAGGUUUGGAGGGGGGACUGGAAUUCUUGGUGUAGCAGUGAAAUGCGUAGAUAUCAAGAGGAACACCAGUGGCGAAGGCGAGUCCCUGGACAACACCUGACACUGAGGCACGAAAGCGAGGGGAGCAAACAGG
rnacentral:rRNA from 1 species